UAAAGUAGGCGAACGGCUGAGUAACACGUGGGCAACCUGCCCUUUGCACUGGGAUAGCCUCGGGAAACCGAGGUUAAUACCGGAUACUCCAUAUUUGUCGCAUGGCGAAAUAUGGGGAAAAGCUCCGGCGGCAAAGGAUGGGCCCGCGGCCUGUUAGCUAGUUGGUGGGGUAGUGGCCUACCAAGGCAAUGAUGGGUAGCCGGGUUGAGAGACCGACCGGCCAGAUUGGGACUGAGACACGGCCCAGACUCCUACGGGAGGCAGCAGCA
rnacentral:rRNA from 1 species